GUGUCCGUGGUGUGGUGGUCUGCACGCCGGGUUGUGGCCCCGGAAGUUCCGGUUCGAUCCCGGGCGGACGCC
rnacentral:tRNA from 1 species